UCUUCUCAUUAUCUGCUUUCUCUGCUCUGAGCUCUUCUCUUCAAACAGCCGCAGGCAGAGGGACGGGGGAGAUGGUGAGGGGCGGCGGCGGCGGCGGGAUGCUCAGGGCGGCGCUGGGCGACGGCGGCAAGCUGAGGGGCGGCGGCGGCUGGCAAGGGGCGGCGGCGGCUGGUGAGGGGCGCCGGCCGCUGGCUGCUCAGGGGCGGCGUUGGCGCGAGAUGCGGAGGGGUGGCGGCGGCUGGCUAGGGCCGGCGGCGGCUCACGGGCAAGGGGCGACGGCGGCAAGCGAGGGGCGGCGGCGGCUCACGGGCAAGGGGCGCCGGGCGGCGGCCACGUGCAGGGAGACGGAGGAGGAAGGCGGCGGGCGCACGGCGACAGCGCCCCAGAUCUGGUAAGUCCCGCUCCACAAAUCGUUGAAAAAUGGCAAAAUACGGGCACGGGGAACUCUGGGGACGACGGUGAUGGAGGGGGUGGCACGCCAGCGGUGAGCUCGCGCCGGAGGGGAGGUGGUUGACGAUGUCCGGAUGGGGGCGGGAUCUCGAUCCAGAGGCGCUCGGGCGAAAUGGCGUGAGGAGAGAGAUACGCUAUUUUUACCGCUUCUCUCUCCUACUAUGGCGUAUCCGCCAAAAUUGGCGUGUGGGUUAGCGUAUCCGCUGGAGGGCGUUUUUUGGCCUCUAUACGCUAAAACCGGGAUGGAGGAUUGGUUACCGUAUCUGCUGGGGAUGCUCUGAGCUGACGUUGCCGGAUGCCGGAGUUUCGCCGGCAAGCGUCGCCCCACCUACCGUCGGAGUCCGCCCGCAAGCGCCGCCGCCAUCGCCCGCGACCUCCUCCCGCGAGCGCUGCCGUCGGAUCCGUGCACCUCCGCGUGGGGCGCCGCCGCUGCUGCCGGCGCAACCUCCUUCCGCGAGCUACCGCCGCGGGUGACCUCCUCCUCUCAAAAGCAUCGCCGCCGCUGCCGGAUCCGCCCGCGGAGAUCUCUCUCCUAGUCUUGUUCGUUUCAGUGCUGAGGUCUGUGUGAAAAAGGAAGUUAAGAGCUCGUCGGAGACGUCGUCUUCCCUGGAUCCGGCCAAAACCGCGCCGCCGUAGCCGCCAUUUGCUGCACGCUGCAGUCCAGGUUGUUGCCCACUUGCCCCCGACAACACUGUCCCCAGGUCGUCGUCGUCGCCAUGGCCUUGGGCUCCUCCCGCCAUCGCUCCUCUGACCGAGUGAGGAAGGAGAAAGAAAGAUGAGGCAUUGAAGGUAAGGUCACUUCCACAAGGGGGCAAGCAAAGUAAGUGGUAAGGCAUAUCAAGAAAUUUCUCUUCAUUAUUUAGCCCAUAGCAAAACUAAUAUUCGAGAGGUAUAUACCACUCAAAUAUUCAACUGAAUAUGGAUUUCUUCUCAAUUAAGCGUAUACAACAGCCGUUCGUUUUCAUCACUUUUCAAUUAACCAUAAAGUAGCUAUGUUCUGAGGCGUGUUUUGGACGCCUUUCUUCUUCUAUUAAUGCAAUGAUAUGCAACUCUCUUGCAUAUUCAAGAAAAAACAAUGUUCUGAGGAGCUAUUAGUCUAAUAAAAGCUAUGCUUUAUUUACAUUGGUUUAGCAUGUUUUUAGAAUUAGGUAUCCAGGAAGAAGCUGGUAGAGAAGUGUUUUUGGCUUCUCUGUACAAUGAGGGCUUAUGCUUUUCUGCGGAUGCCCAGGAAGCUACAUCAUUGAUCAGUGCACAGUUUUUUGGAACAUUGAUGAGCGUACAUAGAAUGCAUCUCCCAUUUUUCCCAAAUCGCUGUAUCACAUGGUUUUGUCAAAUUCCUGUUUGAUGGAUGCAAUUUUGGCACAAACUUCCCUCAUUCCUGGCCUAUCAUUUGGUGAUUCCUUGGAACACAGAAGGCCAAUUUCAAUCAUCGGUAGGAUGAAACUUUGCAUCCACAGAUCAUGUACCACCUUUUCAUCUCGGGGCAUAUGGGGAUCUAAAACCUCACCAAUUGUGUUUGGGAAAGCAGAGUCCACAUACUUAUGAAGGCUGAGGUCGCUGCCGAAUUGUGUGUCAGUUGGCCGCUUCGCUGUGAACAUUUCAAGUAGAAGCACCCCAAAACUGUACACAUCACCAGCAGUUGAGAUUUUGCAUCCCAUCCCAUAUUCUGUAAGACAAUAUUAAUGAAAGUAUGCUAAAAACAACAAAAAGAUAGAUGUAAAGCUGAACAAAUAACCAGUUGUUGGAAUGGAAAAACUGACCAGGUGGGAUAUAUCCAAUGGUUCCUCCAAAACCAACAAAUCCUUCUGGCUUAGUAAAAUUUGAUGAUAGAAACUUAGCUGACCCAAAAUCACCAAUGCGUGAGGUCAUGUCAUAAUCCAAAAGAAUAUUACUCGGUUUCAAGUCACAGUGGAUCAGAGGAGGUACCAAUUGGUUGUGGAGAUAAUCUAGAGCAGAAGCAAUAUCUGCCGCUAUGCUUAUCCUUUGACCUAACGUUAGCACCCUCUUUGGGCUGCCUUGGUACAGCUUUGGGUGUACAAACAUUUCCAGGUUGCCAUUUGCCAUGAACUCAUAUAUUAGAGCUUUGAAUUCAUUAUUGUCAAAAUCCACCGUUGAGCACAAGGUUAUUGCUUUGACCAGGUUGCGAUGGCGAGUGCAUUUUAGUACUUCACACUCUCUAAAGAAGCUGUUAUGUGCACCUUGCUCAUCAAGAUGAAAUACCUUGAUGGCAACUAGGUCUGUAUCAAACUCGAAUCGUCCGAUGUAGACUGAUCCUGUGUGACUUGAGCUGAUUUUAUUGACUGGGGAGAACCAAUUGGUGGCUUUAAGAAUGUCCCCAUAUGAUACCCUCUUCAUUGUUUCUUUGUAGUUUGAAGAUUGUUGGGUUGUACUUUCCUUUCUAAGAGUGAACAUUAUGCAUAGAAUUGAGAAUAAAGCAACAGUAACGGUUGGAAUGAGAAUCACUAUCAGUAGCCAUCGUGUAUUGUUCUUCUUCCUUUUAGCAGGUGAGGUGGGGCAAAUCGGCAAUGCAAAUAUGGAUGUAAGUGCACACAACCCUUUAUUUCCUUUCAGGUUUACAGAAUUUGGUUUUCCAAAGAUACCUCCGGUGGGAACAACACCGGAUAAAUUGUUUUCCGAGAGAUCAAUUUGUUGAAUUGCCGGCAGUUGGCUUAAUGACUCUGGUAUACUCCCACUUAGGUUGUUGUUUUCCAAGUUAAGGGACAAUAGAACAGCACACUGUAUGAGUGAAGAAGGAAUUUGGCCUGAUAACUGGUUGUUGGAAAAAUUUAGGUGGCCAAGAUUGUGCAAUGUACCGACUUGCUGUGGUAUCAACCCUGAAAGUUUGUUAUUUGAAAGAUCCAAACCCAAGGAAAGAGAAGAUAUAUUGACGAGUUCAAUUGGUAUGGAUCCAUCAAGGUUGUUCACUGAUAAGUUUAGCAUUGCUAGCCUUAUGCACUGCCCUAUAUUUGCCGGUAUUUUACCAGAUAAGUUAUUAUUAUCAAGAUAAAGCUGGCCAAGUUGUGAAAGGUUACCAAUUGUAGAUGGGAUUUGUCCUGACAAUUCAUUCAUGGAUAGGUUCAAGAUAAACAAUUUUUUCAAGUUCCCAAUUGUCAUGGGAAUUUGCCCUGACUGCUUGUUUGUGUUGAUCUCAAGCAGAGAGAGAUUUAUAAGCUUCCCUAUCUCGUCUGGUAUUAUUCCUGUUAUUUGAUUGCCGCCAAAUUUCAACUUUUGUAGAUGUGUUGAAAGGUUGCCAAUUGAUUUUGGCAGGCUACCGUUCAGGUUAUUUCCAUCCAUCGACAGUUCUAAUAAUCGAGUACAAUUUGUCAGAGAUGUAAUUAAUGACCAGAUAUCAGCUCCUAGCCUGUUACUUCCUAGCAAAAGUUUGUUCAAGUUUCUCAAGGAUCCUAAUGCUGGUACAGAUCCGCUUAGAUGAUUGCUAGAGAGAUCAAGCAUUUGUAGGUUUGAUGCAUUGGCCAAGGAAGUUGGAAUUGAUCCAUCAAACCUAUUCAGAGACAUGACCAACGAUUUGAGAUUUGGAAGUGUGUGACCAAUGUCAGGAGGUAUCUUUCCAAUAAGACUGUUGUUUCCUAUACCAAAGAAUUCAAGCGACGACUUAUUGUACAGUGUGACUGGGACAAACCCUGAUAAUCUGUUUCCACUCAGAUCUAGCUUAUUCAGGUUUGCGAUUUGACUCAAGGAUUCUGGAAUUGGUCCUGAUAAAUUGUUUUGUCCUAGCAAUAUGGAACUUAGAGAUGAAAUAUUUGCUAGAGAUGGUGGUAUUCUUCCAGAAAGCAAGUUUCCAGUAAGGUCAAGAAAUCGAAGAGUCCCCAUGUUACGAGGAAGUGGAAUUUUGCCAACAAAAGAAUUCGUUUGUAGAUCAACAGUGACAAGCUUGGAUGAGCCAUUGAAAAAACUAGGAGGGAUCUCUCCUGAUAGGUUGUUACGCGAAAGAUUUAGCUCUAUGAGUGAUGAACUUCUUGCCAAGGAUUCAGGGAUGGUACCUUCAAGGUUGUUUCUUGCAAGCAGCAGACUUUGCAGAGAAGUGAGGUUGCCGAUGCAAUCAGGCAGGACCCCAGUGAGCUCCAUGGAGCUAAGGUUUAUGGAGACAACUUGAGCUGGAGAUGUCGUGCCACAUCUGACACCAUUCCAUCUGCAGAAAUGGACUGACGUGUUCCAUGAGAUGAAAGCACCGGUGGGGUCGGUUAUGCUUUGCUUGAAGCAUAGUAGAGCUUGUAAAUCGGUCUCUGAUCUGUUGCUGGGCUGCGCUGAUGAGGGUGUUAUUGUGUUGCAGGAUAGAAAGAUGAGGAGGCUGCAAAGAAGAAAUGAUGCAGGAUGAGAAGCAGCGGGGGGAGAUUUGGCUCCAACUGAUGGAAACAUCACUUCUAAGAUGGAGUUCUUGUUUUUCUUUUUUCGUGAGAACUGUUUGUGAUAUUAUAUAGCCUUGGAAAGUGCAGGCGUUUACUUGA